UCACAUAGGCAGAGCACACGUGACUCUUGU
rnacentral:piRNA from 1 species